AGUACCUGAAACCAUGUGCCUACAAACCGUUGGAGCCUUCUUGUGGGGGUGACAGCGUGCCUUUUGAAGAAUGAGCCUGCGAGUUAGUGAUACGUGGCGAGGUUAACCCGUGUGGGGGAAGCCGUAGCGAAAAGCGAGUCUGAAUAGGGGCGUUGAGUCGCGUGCCUAGACCCCGAAGCGGAGUGAUCUACCCAUGGCCAGGUUUGAAGCGCGUGUAAAGAGCGCGUGGGAGGGACCCGAAACCCCACUUUCAGUUUGAAAAAAUGGAGGGGGGAUGAGCUGUGGGGUAGGGGGGUGAAAAGGCCCAAUCAAAACUCCCGUGAUAGCUGGUUUCUCCCCCCGAAAAUGCAUUUUAGGUGCAGCGUCACGUGUUUUCUUCCCCGGAGGUAGAGCUACUGGAUGGACGUGGGGCCCUACAAGGUUACUGACUUCAGCCAAACUCCGAAUGCCGGG
rnacentral:rRNA from 1 species